ACUUGUAAAGUUUAAUAUUUGUAGAGACAGCAUAAAAUGGAUAGCUAUAUAUUUGUAAUUGAAAAAUUCAUGAUUUCUUUAAAAGAUUAUCAUAGAAUUAUAAAUGCACAUCUUUUCUUAAGAGGAAAUCUUUAGUGAAGUUCUCAUUUUUUUAACACAUAUAAAUGACACAAGAAUGUAUAAUAUUGUUUACAAAUAUAGGCGGGAUUUUUUUAAAAACUAAAUGGAUAAGAUGCAUAAUCACACUGCUAUAGAAUAUAUAUAAAAAACAAUUGUGUGAAUAACUCAAUGAAACUAAAAUAUUACCUUUCACACUCUUACAAUAAAUACACAUUUUACAUUAUAACAUAUAAAUAUAUCUUUCAUUUAACAAAUAUAUACAGCAAAUCUUUAAGUUAAUAACAACACACACAUACACACAACUAUAGCACUAAAUGAAAUAUGUAAGCUAUGUUACUAUUGGUUAAAUAUAUGACAGUGAUCACAUGAUACCUGUACAAGAAACAUUUGGUUAAUCAUAUGACACAUCACAUGAUACAAAUAAAUUAAAUAAAAUUAUAAACUAAUCACAAAACCCAAAUCACUGGUUUGAAAAUAUUACAGAACAUUAAAUAUGCACACUAACACAAUUAAUGGCUGGAUUCCUGAUAUGAUUUGCAUAACAAAAUAUGUCUUCUUCUCAUAGUACGUACCUCCUCUCAGGUAACCACAAUACAGGGUCAUGAAAAGUCAAAACCCUUUAUUAAUCUAAAGAAAAAUUAUCUCUCUGCCUAUUUUUUUGGUUCUUUUCACUCUUUCACUGUUCAUACUUGUAAUCUAAAACUCACAUUUAUAUUGUAAAAACUCAAAAACAGAUUUUUUUCAAUUUUCAAGUGAAUCUGAUGCUAAUUUUUAUUUUCAAAGCAUAUUAUCCUUGGACAAUACUCUUCACAAUAGUUAUAAAAUGUUGUAGGUGAAAAAGAGUUCAACAGUUAAGAGCUACAUUUUGUCUACAUUAAAAAUUAUAUAGAAGUACAGAAAAUUAUUGCUUUCCCUAGUGAAAACAAUUGUUGCUGAAUACCCUAUGUUAAAUAUUCAAGACAAGACUAUAUAAAAUGAGAUGUUAUAUAUAUUCUGAUUAUUCUAAACGCUAAAAAUUUGUAAAUACCUCCAUUACAUAUUGUCAAAAUAAUUAUUAAAUGUACGCAUAAAAUGAGUGACAGUGAUAAGUUGAAAAUGAAUAGAGAUGAUUUGGUUUAAUUUGUCUGUAUCUUUGAUGUUUUGAUGUUUUGAUUUCAGAUUCAUAUUUUAUUAUGCUGCUCUAUAAUUAUGACUAUUGUAAUUCCUAUCACUAUUAUCAAAAACAUGGAGUGUUGUAGGCAAUGAAUUAAUCGCCUAAAAUAUAGAAAACUAUUUUUUUUCAAACACAUUGCAAUUUUUACCUAUUUUAUUUUUAUCUUUCCUUUCAAAUACAAAUUACUGCACAGAUGUUUUUUUGACUGCAGACACAUGUACUUGUUUAUUUUAUUUAAGCUUUUUAUUGACGUGCUAUUUCCUCCCCCUUAAGUAUAUUCACAUAUUGCUUCAGCUUGAAAUCAACCUGGAAGGGUAGGAC
rnacentral:lncRNA from 1 species